rnacentral:miRNA from 14 species
GUUAAAAAACAUAGAUUCCCGGGCCCCUCCCCAACCUACUGAAGCAGAAUCCAGAAGGCUGGGGUCCAGGAAUCUGUAUUUUU